rnacentral:rRNA from 1 species
GACAGAGGUCUCAAGCGUUGUUCGGAUUCACUGGGCGUAAAGGAUGCGUAGGCGGUCGGCUAAGUCACAUGUGAAAUCUCGGGGCUCAACCUCGAAACUGCAUGCGAUACUGGUCGGCUCGAGGGCCGGAGAGGAGACUGGAAUUCACGGUGUAGCAGUGAAAUGCGUGGAUAUCGUGAGGAACGCCAGUGGCGAAAGCGGGUCUCUGGACGGCACCUGACGCUGAGGCAUGAAGGCCAGGGGAGCGAACGGG